UAGCUGUCUGUGGUGUGCCCUUGAAGCUGUGUCACUGAGACAGAUACCUGCCUGUGGGAAUUGGAAGUGCUCUCCAGGAACUGUGAUGCUUUGUGCUGACAAGUCCUUGCACCCAGACAGACUUCUGGGAUCGGCACCCUGCCAACGGCCACCUCGUUCUCACAAACACACAGAGCCCCAAAAAGAAACUGAGCAAAUAUUUCCUAUGCUGCAACUUUCUGGGCCCCCAGAACUGCAGAGAAGACCCGAAGAGCCUUUGGAGGAGGUGCCACAGGAGAAUAUGACACACCACUUAACAAAUACAUCUUCAGAAGUUCCAGAUGAAAGCUGCAGCUGCACUUUCCCUUGCUGUCGUUCCUCACAGCAGGGAGUUGUUUCUAUCGGGCUCUGCAUAAACAAGUCACCAAAGUCCCAAAGACUCUGCGUGGGCACAGGCGUAUUGGGCAGGCAGAUUAUUUAUUUCCAAGGCAGCAUAAAUCACCAAGUGUCACUUGGUGAGGAGGUGAGAAAAUGAGGAGGAAAACACAAUUCCAGUUUUGGCCAGAAGGAAGCAUCAGGGACAGCACUGCAAGAGAUCUUCCAAAGCAAAGUUUCUAUGAAUUGAGAAAUUAAGAUAAUGGGGUCACAGAAAUAAAUCCAGUGCCAGUGCUUUUACCCUGACGAGAAAUAAACCUUUGACUCUUCAGGACAUGCCUCUGAAGAAUCCAGUGCUGGGAGGAAACAUGGAACAUUUGAAGCCCCACUGACUGCAUACAAGAAGCAAGAAGAUAGCAGAGAAAAGAAGCGACCAUCAUAUGCCCUAGGAAAAUGCUACCAUUAAACACAGCCAUAUCUUCCUUUAGGAGGAGAUAUGUAAGUCCCACGAAAGACUGUAUGCAACUUGCAUGCAACUGUGACAGGUUUCCGUGUAAGUGACCUGUACAAAACGAAGGACUUUCCUUCACAAGUAUAACAACAUUUUAAGAAGUGUCUUUAUACCUGUAAAGGAAAGAGAAGAAGGUGGGGUGAAGUUGCCUCAUAAGGUUUUCAGAGAACUCUUAUAUAUAGAAGUAAUGAAUUUGUUUUCAAAUCUGUGUACAGAUGUUUAGCAAGGAACUACAGCUUUCUGUAGUGGAAUACAGCAAGGCCUCAGGUGCACAGUAUUAACCUGCUAUCAUGAAGGUGGUCUGGAUAAGAGCGUUGUAUUCUCUUUACAAAGGAAGGGAAAGCCUGCUAUCAUUUUCCCAGCUUUGGAAGGGCAUAUGCCAAAUAUUUCAUCAAAACCAUAAAAAACAACUUUCACCGCCACCAUAUUUUGAUUAGGAAGUAUAACAGCAAAAACAAGUUUAAGCAACCAAGAGAAAAUGUUUACAUAGUGCUGUGUCUGUCCUUUUCUAUUUAAAAAUGAACCCUAUCCUGGCUGAAUCCAGGGCAUAAAGAAAAGUAGGAUUGGAAAUGAAGCCCUUUUUAUUUCUAAUCGUGUUCUUCAAAAGUCCUGCCAGCUCCUAGGCUGUCUAUGCUUGAGAUAAUCAUGUGUUACUUAAAACUGAGUUAAUGGAACAAGCAGCAGUUGGACCAGUCCAGCUUAGAUUGCAUGGCAGUGCUGAGGAAGCUGAAGGUGCCUACAAAUUUGUUAUCUCUAAUACCAAAGAUCAAAAGAGUAAAGAGCUGCUCUGCAGCACAGCACAUAAAUUACUUUAUAAGGGAAUUCUCAUGAGUCCUGAUGGAUCUAUGAGAACUGGCAGACGCUAAUAGGCAGUAAAAUAAUUUCUCUAGAAGUUCACUUCUGCUGUUUGUUUGCAUACCUCUCUGGGACAGAAGUGAAAUUUGCUGGUGUUUCCCCCUGAAUCCUCCUCCCAUACAUUGAAAACAAUAAAAAUCUAUUUGAAUUAGGACAACAGGAGAGGCAAUUUAAGGGGGCACUAAAGAUUCAGUCUCUUAAUCACAACUGUGACAAAAUGCUGUUAUCCUUGCCGGCAAUUCCCUGGCAAUUUACAGUACACUAGUGUAAAAGGAGGAGACCUUGCAUUGCAAAGAAACCUGACUAGAUAACCAAAUCUUCACCUACUGACUCCCUUUUCCUCCCACUGUUGCACAUAUCUUAGGGAUCACCAGGUACUCUGCCAUCCCGUGCCCAUUCAGGAGCUGUAUUUUGACCCUGACAUUGAAUUGAAAGUUAUUUAGAAGCCGAAGUCAGUGCAGAGGCUGGCUUCUGAAUAACCCAUUUAAUGAGGAGGGCAUUUCAGUAGGACUGUGUGAAUGCACACCAGCAGCCCCAUUAGGCUGCAAUAGCAGCUUAAGAGUUUUUACUAUAGGGGCAACCUAAAACCACUCUGCCUGAACUGUGGUUUCUAAUGCUCUCCAAAAGGAACUCCUUUCCUGCAUAUAGGACAGAAAUUAAAUUGUUGGCUGGGUUUCCCCUGCAAGGUCCUGGAACCCUAAGUUGUCCCAAGUCUAACAGUUGUUUUAGGGUAUAAGAAAAGAAAUACAUUAUUAGGAAUUUGAGAAAGAUCUGAGGACUUUGAAGAUAACAUCCCAAAGCAAAGAAGACCUAGAAAGAGUCAGAAUUUUUUUUCUUUUAUGUCAUUGCUGAGCUGAUUUCCUGCAAAAAAAAAAAAAAAAAAAAGUUAGGCUGACAAUGGUAAGUUAAAUAGAGUCAAAGGCAUAUUUUUAUAAUCUGCAUAUACCUGAAGGUAAUUUAAAAUACAAGGAAAAGCAGGUAGUGUAAAGGCCAGGAAAAUACCCUGAGGAUGAAUAUGUUCAAAAGAUUGUGAUGUUUUUAACAACUUGUCAGUUGCUGGUAUAUCAGUAAGUGCCAAACCCAAAUCAUUGUUUCAAAUUAUGUUCCAAAUCAAAACACAUAGAAAU